AGAGUUUGAUCCUGGCUCAGGAUGAACGCUGGCGGCGUGCUUAACACAUGCAAGUCGAACGAUUAAGACGGCUUCGGCCGUGUAUAGAGUGGCGAACGGGUGAGUAACACGUGACCAACCUGCCCCGCGCUCCGGGACAACCGCUGGAAACGGCGGCUAAUACCGGAUGCUCCGGGGAGGCCCCAUGGCCUCCCCGGGAAAGCCCCGACGGCGCGGGAUGGGGUCGCGGCCCAUUAGGUAGACGGCGGGGUAACGGCCCACCGUGCCCGCGAUGGGUAGCCGGACUGAGAGGUCGACCGGCCACAUUGGGACUGAGAUACGGCCCAGACUCCUACGGGAGGCAGCAGUGGGGAAUUUUGCGCAAUGGGGGAAACCCUGACGCAGCAACGCCGCGUGCGGGACGAAGGCCUUCGGGUUGUAAACCGCUUUCAGCAGGGAAGACAUAGACGGUACCUGCAGAAGAAGCUCCGGCUAACUACGUGCCAGCAGCCGCGGUAAUACGUAGGGGGCGAGCGUUAUCCGGAUUCAUUGGGCGUAAAGCGCGCGUAGGCGGCCGCCUAAGCGGAACCUCUAAUCCCGGGGCUCAACCUCGGGCCGGGUUCCGGACUGGGCGGCUCGAGUGCGGUAGAGGCAGGCGGAAUUCCCGGUGUAGCGGUGGAAUGCGCAGAUAUCGGGAAGAACACCGAUGGCGAAGGCAGCCUGCUGGGCCGCCACUGACGCUGAGGCGCGAAAGCUGGGGGAGCGAACAGGAUUAGAUACCCUGGUAGUCCCAGCCGUAAACGAUGGACGCUAGGUGUGGGGGGACCAUCCCCCCGUGCCGCAGCCAACGCAUUAAGCGUCCCGCCUGGGGAGUACGGCCGCAAGGCUAAAACUCAAAGGAAUUGACGGGGGCCCGCACAAGCAGCGGAGCAUGUGGCUUAAUUCGAAGCAACGCGAAGAACCUUACCAGGGCUUGACAUGCGCCUGAAGCCGCGGAGACGCGGUGGCCGAGAGGAGGGCGCGCAGGUGGUGCAUGGCUGUCGUCAGCUCGUGUCGUGAGAUGUUGGGUUAAGUCCCGCAACGAGCGCAACCC
rnacentral:rRNA from 1 species